GACGUAGGGGGCCAGCGUUGCUCGGAAUUACUGGGCGUAAAGGGUCCGUAGGCGGUGCGGUAAGUCGGGAGUGAAAUCUCUGGGCUUAACUCAGAGGCUGCUUCCGAAACUACCGUGCUAGAGUGCGAGAGAGGCAAGUGGAAUUGCGGGUGUAGCGGUGAAAUGCGCAGAGACCCGGAGGAACACCAGUGGCGAAGGCGGCUUCCUGGUCUGCGACUGACGCUGUGGCGCGAAAGCUAGGGGAGCAAACGGG
rnacentral:rRNA from 1 species